GACUUUAGAUAGCAAUAUCGAAAAGUAGGGUGGCGCACGGGUGCGUAACGCGUAGGUAAUCUGCCCUGAGGUCUGACAUAACCCGUCGAAAGGCGGGCUAACAUCAGAUGAUAUAUAAUCACGAUAUCGUGGAAAUAUCAAAUCUUCGGAGCCUUGGGAUGAGCCUGCGUCUGAUUAGGUAGUUGGCGGAGUAAUAGCCCACCAAGCCUACGAUCAGUAGCUGGUCUGAGAGGAUGAUCAGCCACACUGGAACUGAGACACGGUCCAGACUCCUACGGGAGGCAGCAGUAAGGAAUAUUGCUCAAUGGGGGGAAACCCUGAAGCAGCAACGCCGCGUGAAGGAUGAAAUACUUUUGUAUGUAAACUUCUGUAAGAUGGGAAAAAUAUUCUCCUCGGGAGAAUUGAUUGUACCAUCAGAGUAAGCCCCGGCUAACUACGUG
rnacentral:rRNA from 1 species